rnacentral:misc_RNA from 1 species
UACCCUUGACAUGUCCGAGAGGCUGGAUUUCUCCAGCCUCUCGGACAUGUCAAGGGUAGGUAAGGUUUUUCGCGUUGCAUCGAAUUAAUCCACAUAAUCCACCGCUUGUGCGGGUCCCCGUCAAUUCCUUUGAGUUUUAACCUUGCGGCCGUACUCCCCAGGCGGUCGACUUCACGCGUUAGCUUCGUUACUGAGAGUGUCAAACCCCCAACAACCAGUCGACAUCGUUUAGGGCGUGGACUAC